rnacentral:ribozyme from 1 species
UUUUCUUCUUUGUUUUUUUUCUUUUCUUUCUUUCUUUCUUUCUUUCCACCAAAUUAUAAAAUUAUAGAGGUAAAACUAAACGAAGCAAU